rnacentral:lncRNA from 13 species
AUGGAGGUGGCGGCUCCCAAGGGGUCCCUGGGGCUGAGCCCCCCCCAGAUCCGCCCGGGAAAGGGGGGGCCCGAGGCCGGAGGGGAUGAGGAGGGGGCGGCCGCCGCCCGGGGGGCUUUCCCCGCCCUCCGCGUCCCCUCCGUCUCCAUCGAUGUCCCCAGAGCCGUGGUGGAGCUGGUGCCGGAGCUCGGGAUGCCCGGCCCGGCGCCGCCCGGCCCCGGCCCGGAGGCGGGCUCCAGGUUUGCCGAGGGGCUGCGGAAGCUCAGCCGGGAGCUGGAGGCUCCGGCCGUGGGGAUCUCCCCCAAGCCCCCCAAAUUCCGCCUCCCGCGCCUCGGGUGGGCCCUGGCCAAGCUGCGGGAGGGCGGCGGGACCCCGCCGGCAUCGCCCCCCGGCAUCGCCAUUCCCAGCGUGGAGCUGGAUCUGGGGGCGGUGGGAGACGCCGGGGCCAAGCUGAAGGUGCCCAAACUGUCCCUGGCGCCGUUUGGCGACGUCGAGGACGGUGCCCGCUUCGGCAUCGGCGACUCCGGCGGCGCUCCGGGGUCCCCCCGGCUCCGCGUCCCGCGGUUCGGCAUCGGGGGGGCGGCGCUGCCGAAAUUCGGGGGGUCCAGCCCCGACCUCCGCCCCGGGGGGGUCCCCAAAGCGCCCCCGAAACGGGGCGGCAGCGCCGAGAGCCUGAUCCUGGGCUGGACGGCGCCGGAGCCCCCCGCGACCCUCCGGCCGCGGCCGAAAUCCCGGGGGGUGUCGGCGCCGCCGUGGCCGCCCCGGAUCGCCAUCCCCGCCGUGGGCUUCGCGCUGCCGGGACAGGCCCCGGAGCGCCCCGGGGGCCGCGGGGCUCCGGAGCCGCCGGCGCUGAAGGUGCCGGUGCUGGAGCUGGCUCCGCCGGGCUCGGAAGGGACCUCGGAGCCGCCCGCGCGCCGCUUCGGGGUGAAACUCCCCAAAUUCGGGGCCGGCUCCGCCGGGAGCGGGUCGGGAUCCUCCGGGAGGAUGAGGAUGGGCGGCUCCAAGCCCAGCCCUGAGGAAGGAGGAGCCCCCCGCGAUGGGAACCCCCGGCCCGGCGGGGCACGGCGCCGGCGGUGGGUGCCCAGGGUGGGCUUCACCCCCGGGGGGGCCUCGCCGGAGCCCCCCAAAGUGGGGAGGAUGCGGUUCCCCGACGUCGAGCUCUGCCCCGGGGACCCCCAAAUCGCUGGGAUCGGGGGGAUCUCUUCCCGCUGUGAUGCGGGGGGGCCUCGGGGAGGCGAGGGGAGCCCCAAAUUCCAGCUGCCGCAGCUGGUGCUGAGCCCCCAGAUCUGCGGCGAGCCAUGA